ACACACCACAUUUCUUGAUUCUCAUAAGAUAUACAGCGUCUACCUUAGGAUGUAUAUGGCGCAUAUUUGAUAUAUGUUUUUAUUUCAUCUUCCUCACCAGAGAAACAACACAGAACAUGCGUGAAGAACUUAUUUAAUAAAUUUAUUCAUUGUAAUUAAAUAAAAAUCUUUAUCAUAGUUGCUGUUGCUUCUUGUUGUUGUUGUUGGUGGUGGUGGUGGCAAGUGGAUCUGUAUGAUCUGUGAACUUUCGUACAAAAUGAGUUUGUAGAGAGUAAGUGAUUAUUGCAAGACAUGUUUUAGUGCAAGUGAGUUUGUAAAAAGAGGACGAGCU